AAACAUAUAACUGUAAGAGAAAUUGUUGGAUUUUAGCCCCUCUUUAACUCUUAGAAUUAAACAUUUUUCCACAUCAUCACCACUUGUUUUCGGGAGGGGAGAAUAUUGCUUGCUGCAGGCAUUAGGAACCUGCCCUAUGUCUCUAACCGGGAUUAUUACAGACAGCCCCUUCUCAGCAUAAACAGAUCAUUAUUACAUUUUCUUCCUCCCACCCCACCCUGCCUCACUACAGGGAGAAAAAAACAACCCUUGUCGAUCUUCUGAUGAAUGUAAGCUAGGAGAAAGACAUUAAAAAAAAAAUUUAAAAACCCACAACCUCUCCACGCACACACGACAUGGAAACCGCUCCCUACAGUGAAUUAAGGACAUCUCAGCACAGGGAGUUAAUUCAUGGCUCUUAAAUGAAUCAGGAGGUGAAAAUGCAGUUUCAGCGACGGAAUGAAAGCUGAGGUUUUCUUUUCUGCGGGUUACGAUUUCGGUGAUCCACGGAGAAAGCCAGAGUGCACGGGAAAACAUGUCUGAAGGCACGGGACAGAGGAGCGGAGCCCGGUGAGUGUGUUCAGAGGCGGCUCCUUGUGCCCAGCCGUGCUGCCUGCCAGCCCUCCCUAGGGACGGUGUCCCAGAGCUAGGGCCGGUCUCCUCUCCAUUGCAGCAUCGCUCUCGCUCCCUGAGCAUCCUCCAGCGACCAUCGCCCGCCGCCCCUCCAGAGAGCUGCAGACACAAAAGCAAAGCGAACGCCUCUACAAAGAGUCUUCAUUUACUGACCUGAGGUUGUGAUGGACAAGGGAAGCACACAGGAGCUGAGGUCAGGAGCUGAAUGGAAUGUAUCAUCAAAAGAAUAGAUUUGGUUUUGGAGAAAGCAAAAUGAAUUGCUGGGCCAAAGGCAGGAGGACAGUCACAAAAGAAGAACAAUGGUUAAUUAAAAAUCAGAAUUCACAGAUCAUAAGAAGACAUCACAGAAGCAACUGGAGACAAAACCAGUAAGCAAAACAAAAACCAGCACCUGCUUGGAAAAUUAUAUUCUCUAAAAGCACUCCUUCAUUUUGGAACAAGACUCAGAAGCAUGACUUCAGUCUUCACCUAUUCUAUUUGACUGCAAAGUCCCAGCAGAGUAGAUUAAUUUAAAUAAUUUUUUAAAAGGUGUAUAAAAAUAUAUUGUGUGCUGCUGUAAAAGCAGCUGACAUCUAGGAUGAUAAACUCUAUUUAGACACAAGCAUGCUGCCAUCUUCAACAGUUUUCCAUUUACUUCUCUUCAUUUAUUAUCACCUAGUGUACUUCCAUCAAAAUAAAGUAGUUGGUUCUUCAGAGUUCCUCUAUUUGUGCAGUUCAUUUCCCGACCUCAUGCUUCAGAACUGUGAUAUCACAAUUACACCUCAUACUCAGAAGUUGUUCCAGGGAGAACUGCUGGGCCAUGACAGGCAGGCAUUUAUUCCUCUUUGCUGCAAUGGCCUCUAGUAAGUACCCACCAAACAAGAAACCAUGGGGAGUACCAAGCUUCAGUGACCAUACUCUGAUUGUCCGUGAUAAAGAAACAGGCCUGCAAGAAGUUACUUGUUUCCAGAGAAAUAAUAUUUCCAGGACUAAGAAACAAAAUUUCCCAAUAACAAAAAAACCAAAACCCCAAACAAACAAAAACCGCAACAACAAAAAACCCUGAAAAUUUACGACUCACAGAAAUAAAAUCUGAAGAAGGAAUUUUUCUCAGGAAAAAAGGAACAAAUGUCCAGAAAGCAUGUGUAGGAGCAUGACUUACUCAGCCGGGGUACUAGCAAGGUCAGAGAAAAAGAACUGAACCGAAAAAGGCCUCUGCAGAAUGUUUCUUACAGGCUGAAGCAACUGAGGCUGAGAAGUGCAUUAUGAUUCUCCAGACCGGCAAAUUCUAAACCAGAGAGCAGCUCUGGUUCCAUAACUAACAGCAGCCUCAUGUCACCCACCAGGCCUGCAGCAAAGAACUCCAAACUAAAACCAAAACUAUCAUCUGUUUCCAUAACUCUGCCUUCAAAAGGCUCUGUGGGGGAGAAAGUUUGAUUAAUGAUGUUUAGGUGUACAAAGAGCACUACUGAAAUGACUGGGUACCUGGGAGUCCAGCUAGAUCUUGGAAAAAUCUGCUGACUUAGAAAUCAAGGCAGCCAGAGCGCCUAUCCAGAGUGCUCCCAAAGACCUAACAAUGUAGCCUGUGAUCAGCACUGGUCAAGAUAUCCUAAGACAAGAAGGGACCCAAACCAGGAAAAUAUUAAGAGAAAUCUGCAUUGAAAUGCACCAUAGAGGUCAACAGGGGUCAACAAAAUCAAAGUCUGCUAAAACUCAGGGCAACCACCAGCUCACAAACCCAAGAGGUCUAGAUCCAAGACAGUAUCUUGAAAAGAGUUCAGCUUGAAGAAACAGAAGUGUGAACUCAAACAGACCAAACUAAUCUCCCUGGAUUUUAUGUUUAAGAGAUUGAUUUAUUCCUGAAAAUUCUAUUGCUGGAGCAUUUUUAUUCACUCUGUUUUCACACUUGGUCAAACAGAAUUAGAGAUUAACAGUUUUGUGACCCCAUUUGAAAGCCUUGGUGGAUGUCCUUUCAGAUGAGUGUUGCAAGGAAUGAUGGAAGAGAAACUACAAGAGCUUUUAUCAGCAGUGAGCCAGAUGUCUCCAUUAUUUCUUCUCUUUUGCUGAUUCUGUCAUUUUAAUAUUUGUCCUUUUUUUUCCUUCCCUCUGCAAUCCUCUGUUUCAGCCAAAAAAGAUGUGUCUUCAUUACUGUUGCCUUUAAAAAUUUUAUGCGCAUGUUGCUAGGAAAGUAACAAUAACAGUUCUGUAGUAUGUUUUUCACAAGGGGAAGCCAAAACAUUUUCUAAGAAUCAAUUAAUCUUCACAACCCAUUUCUGAAGCAGACAUUAUUUUCCCCAGUUUACAGAGAGAUGAAAUGGCAGACAGGUUAAUUAACUUGCUCAAGGUCAUCCAGUGAGUUAGCAAUCGAGCUGCAAAAAAACCCCAAGAUUCAACAAUUCCCAUUCCCAAAUCCUUCACCUAACCACUAAGAAAUAUCCCUCCUCUUCAGGCUUAAGUAAUUCGUUGAAAUCUUUCACUGACCACUUAUUCUGAUAUAUUGUUGAACUCCAAAUUAGUCAGUCUAAAUGACAAACAUGGAAGCGUGUGGAGCUCCACAGCAUCCUUUGCCUGUUCAGCUUUGUGCAGCGCCACUACGCCGGACAGGUCAUCUCCCAUUAAAAAUGGAUGUGUUACAGCUCUCCUGCAGAACUGCCAAUAUCAUUGCAGGCAUCGCUCUGAGGGCGCUGCACAAGAGACACACGGCACCGGCUCACUUUCCCCAGGAGGAGGGAAGGCUGCCUCGACAGCCUGGCUGUUGGGGAAAGCAAUAAAUUCAAAAUGCCAAGUAGCUUUGAAAAAUAAUUUCUGUCUUCCUCUUAAGCUGCAUCUCCCUUCCAAGUGUUCCCUGUGUUAGAUAGCUGGAGUGGCAGUACUUAAUAGUGACAUCUUUGUGGAUUCCACUCCGGCAUUAGUUUGAUGAGUUACUUUAAAGUCAAAAUAUCCUUUAAAUGCCCACCCAGAGUCUGUCAGUCUCUUAACACUGCACAUUCUCUCCAGAGGGAUUUGCAAUUCAGAUGUCUCCAUGGCUCAGCACGAAUUGCUGUGCAACAAAAUACAGUUGAAGUUUGCCAAUUAAUCAUGAACACAUAAUGAAUAACAAAUGAUUUUUAAACAUGCGUGUAGCCAAUGCAGUUCUACCAAAUGCUCAGAGGGUCCUUCUACUUACUCAGAUGAUUUUGUUCCCUCAUUUACGUCAAUAUUUAUAACAAGAAAAUGUUAGAGAUCAUGUUGCAGCACAAUAGUUUUAAGCAUAAGACUUAGGAGUGAAGUUGAUCGCUUUGUCAUACAGGUACUGCUCAAAUGCCUCAUUUCCAAGAUCAUAAGAUACAAUUUCAGACUCUGCUUCCCUCCAAAUGUCAAUAAACAAGCACCAAUGAGCAAA